GAUACGUGGGGUUCUAAAAGAAAAAUAUGUGUGGCGUUGCCCUAGCAACCAGACUUUAAUCAUGGUCCGAUGCCAAACUGAUGUGAUGAGAAAAGUCAUCUCGGGGGGUUAGUGGGGGAGGAAGGAUGUAUUUGUCUCUGUAGCUUCUGAUGCCUGGAAUGUGAAGCUUAGGCAGAAUUCUAGCCUUUUUGGAGCAACCACCUUGUAGCCUCCGGGGUGUUUUGCUAACCAAGGCAGGGUGAGCUGCCCCAACGCUCUGGCUCCCCUGCCUCGCCGUGAGUCACGCCGGCCCGUCUGCUUUGUUGCGUCUGCAGAAAAUGUGUUGGGAUUUGCUCCGAUGAGGUUCACUUGCUGCUUGAAGCUUCCUCCAGUCUUUUUGAAGGUGGCUACUCAAUGCUCUUAAAAUGGGUCAGUGCUUUAUCUGAAACUGAACGGUGACACUAGUGAAACGCCAAUGGAUCAUGCCUGGACGCAGGGCUGGAUGCUACGAGGAGCAGCUGGCGGUCUUGAAGAUCAUAUUGGAAAGCAGCUUCUCUUCUCCCCGUAUAUAUAUAUAUAUACCUCUCCUUAAUCAUGUUGCUUAUAUCACCCUGUUGGUAAUAAUAUGCUCGUGCUUAUAAUGUGGGACUUACUUUUCCUUAUCUUUCCCUCUCUCCUUUUUUUUAAUUCAAAAGCAAGUAUGCCAUCUUAUAUGCAGUAGGCUUUGAGAGUAGGUUGAUGAACCAUGUUUCGUUUUGUUUAGCUAGGCUAACAUGAUACCUUUUUUUGUGUGUGUGUGGCAAACUUUCUUACUAAAAGACGCGGUGACCUGUUUACCAUAAAUGUCUUCAGUCUCCUAACUACAUUUUGUUUAGGCUUUGUGUAACCAUUGUGUAACUUGUUGCUAGUUUUACAACAGCCCCGUCCGCACCGUAUGUUUAAAGCAGUACCACCCCACUUUUAAACCGUCACGACUUCCCCCAAAGAAUGCUGGGACGUGUAGUUUGUUAAGGAUGCUGAGAAUAGGAGUCUCCUAAUAACUCUCGGUCCCCUUAACAAACCGCAGUUCCCAGGAUUCUUUGAGGGAACUCAUGACUGCUUAAAAUGGAAUGAUGCUACUUUAAGUGCAUAUGGGACCAACAUUCUUCUCUCGCUAAAAAAAAAGUCUGUCUCUGUAAGCCAGUCUUUGCCAACCUAACACCCUCCAGAUGUGUUGGCGUACGGUUUCCACCAGCCCGAGCCAAUGGGUUAGUGGGAAUUGUAGUGCAAAACAUCUGGAAGGUGCCAGGUCAGUGAAGGCUGUGUUGUCACCUGUGCUUUGGCUCUCUGGGGUAGAAUUCCCCUUGGUGCUUCCUGGUUUUUUAUUAUUAUUCUUAUAAAAAUACAAAUAAACGGUACAGAACACUAAAGUGAUGGGGGAGGAUGAGCCAUCCUUUUACCCGCGAUGCCUUAAAAUCAUGCAAAUGUCUUAACAUGCCAAAUAUUCUCAGAGGCCUCCUAGAAGAUCCGCCUUGAAUUUUUCAGGUACUAAUUAGCAACCUUUUCUAUCGGAACAGGUUUUGUUUUUCCUCGGUUGAAAGAACAACGGUAUUUUCACAAUUAUUUUAUAUUGUAUCAUGACACUAAAUGUCCCUUUGCAGUUUUGUAAUAAAUUGAACAGACACGA